GAUGAACGCUAGCUACAGGCUUAACACAUGCAAGUCGAGGGGAAACGGCAUCGAAAGCUUGCUUUUGAUGGGCGUCGACCGGCGCACGGGUGAGUAACGCGUAUCCAACCUGCCCAUCACUUGGGAAUAACCUUGCGAAAGUAAGACUAAUGCCCAAUGACAUCCCACGAAGGCAUUCGAAUGGGAUUAAAGAUUUAUCGGUGAUGGAUGGGGAUGCGUCUGAUUAGCUUGUUGGCGGGGUGACGGCCCACCAAGGCAACGAUCAGUAGGGGUUCUGAGAGGAAGGUCCCCCACAUUGGAACUGAGACACGGUCCAAACUCCUACGGGAGGCAGCAGUGAGGAAUAUUGGUCAAUGGGCGAGAGCCUGAACCAGCCAAGUAGCGUGCAGGAUGACGGCCCUAUGGGUUGUAAACUGCUUUUAUAAGGGAAUAAAGUGGGUCACGUGUGACUUUUUGCAUGUACCUUAUGAAUAAGGACCGGCUAAUUCCGUG
rnacentral:rRNA from 1 species